CCCAAUCCCUCCGGCCACCGCUACCCCACCCACGUUUCUCCUACACCCCCUCCUCCCUCCUCUCUCUCCCCCCUCCUCGUCCGCGCGCACAUCGCCCAGUGCUCACGUGCUCGCCUCCCGGACCAGCCACCGUCGCGCCGCUGGGGCUCGUCCGCCGCGGGUUUCCACGGGGAAGGAGCAGCGACGGGGGUAGGCCCCAGGUGGCGCACACUUCAUGGGGAGGCAAGGAACUAGGAGGUGAUGGGGUCGGAUCUUGUGGUGCUUUGUCGGAGCUCGAUCCAUCGCCUCCCAAACCAGCCGUCGCCGUGCCGCUGGGGCUUGGGUUUCCAUGGGGAAUCACUACACAGCAGCAUGCCUCCCUCCUUCAUCAUCGUCAUCAGAGCCACCGCACCUCUCCUUCCUCCUUGCUCGCACCCCUGCCGCGGCGCGCAUCCCUCCCCUUUCGAUCUAAUUUCAUUCUUGUUUCACAUGUUGGUUUGGUUGGCAAGAGACGUUGCAGUGCCGACGGCAGUAGCCAGGGUUGGCGUUGCUGAUGUCUGUAGGUAUUUUCGUCCUCGCCAGUCACACAUUUCCUAGGUUUGGUCAAUGUCUCUGGAGCUAAUGUAUUAUCCUUUGAUUUCUCCUAUAUUUCCCUUCCUGAUUUUGUUUGAUGAUUUGCGAGGUUAUGGGAUUGGAUCUCCCUUUUCUAAGAUUCUUAGCUGAUAAGUAUAUUGUGCGGAAAAAGUCUACAGAAUGAUGUUGUGCACAUCCAAAUCCAAGCAGUGUAAGUGACCUAGCAUUUCACUGGUGGUAUGGUACAUCUCAUACAAUUUCUGAAUUCCAAUACCGUUCCUGUGUAGCUGGAUACUCCAUGGGGCAAAGUUGAAGCUUUGUACAUCACUUCUCUCCAUGUUUAUUAAUGUUUCUUCAUGUUUGGCAGUGAUAUGGGUUUCCAUGUACUUGAUAUAUGCAUUCCUUGUGUUCCAUCUAUGUAUAUAUGUUUCUGCCCAUAAAUGUAUUUAUGAGCUGACUCCAUUUUUUACUGCUUUUCUGUGGCAAUUUGAAAAGGACCCUUCCAUGGUGCUCAGCCACCGUCCGAUUUCGAGGGAGAAUAGGAGACCCCGACGACGAAAACGAGCUUCCUAGUGGCGAACCCAAGGAUGCCGGUGAUUACGGCAGGUCCAUGCUCCAGUUCUUCUAUUGGCUACUCCCCCAAUGGUGAAAAUCCCCUACAGAAUGGUGCUGGAUGACCUUUUAGAAUCUUUGGGCCUGCCAGUGGCUGAGUAUCAAACCAAAGCAUGCGAGGGUGGUUUGAAGUAUUCGCUCAGUUCAUGUGCUUGGGAUUUGUUUUGAUUGAUGGACCUCAAAGCUGAUGCAAUAAUGCAUGAACUUGCCAAAAGGAAACUCUGUUUAUCAGGGUCGUUUCAGUUUUCAAGUGUCAUCAAUGAUACAUGGAUGGAUGGUGUCGUCAUUGCUCCGCUGCCCCGUGUUUUGGUUGUUUUGGUCCACGCCCAAGGCAAGAAAACCAAAUCUGCACCAUGACGAUAUGCUUCAUGACGAAACCACUUGCUUUCAUAUGUAUUGGACUACUGCAUCAUCACCUUCAUCAAUGGGAGGACGAAAUCAGUAGUAGCACCAGCCGGCCAGCGAGGAAAGCUGCUCGGAUCUGCCACCAUGCCCACCUGCAACUUCCGUAGGGUUGUUCGGCCACUUAGAGAACUUCUGGUGGCCAUAAGCAAUCUUAGUUGCUCACUGUGAUAAUCUAAAUGUAUGCAGUUUCCCUCUUUGCGUGUGUGCUUCUGUGUCUUUCCUAGUAUAUUCCCAGUCUAUGGAAUAGUCAUAUUAGGCAUGUAGUUUAUUUUAAUUUCUGUAUAAAAGCUUGGUACCAACAUACAAAUAUGAUUAUUUUUUCAAUUUCUCAGUGUGGUAACCGUAUUUUCAACUUAAAAAAAUCCCACAACCUUCUGAAACA